AUGAAGUUCGGAGAAAGGGCCAUUGUCAGCUUCUGUGUUGGUAGGGCGAUUCUUAGGCGCACCAAGAUACUGGUCCUGGACGAAGCCACUGCUUCGGUGGAUAGUGCAACCGAUAACCUGAUCCAGAACACACUACAACAUCAUUUUUCCGGGUCAAUUAUCAUCACAACCGUGCAUCGAAUCACCUCGGUCCUUCUUAACGAUAUAGCCUGGCUGUGGAAUCUGGAGCAACCAUGGCUAGCCAAGUUGUUGGAACACAAAUUUUCUCUGUUCUCAAAGCUUGUGGUGGAAUCCAUGAUGAGGUUGAUACACACUUGA
rnacentral:rRNA from 1 species